UACAGAGGGUGCGAGCGUUAAUCGGAAUUAUUGGGCGUAAAGGGCGCGUAGGUGGCCCUAUAAGUUAAGUGUGAAAUCCCAUGGCUUAACCAUGGAAUUGCACUUGAUACUGUAGGGCUAGAGUAUGGUAGAGGGAAGUGGAAUUUCCGGAGUAGCGGUGAAAUGCGUAGAUACCGGAAGGAACACCAGUGGCGAAGGCGGCUUCCUGGACCAAUACUGACACUGAGGCGCGAUAGCGUGGGGAGCAAACAGG
rnacentral:rRNA from 1 species